CAUGCGCGUGCUGCGGCGCGCGCACCGAUGACGCUUCCGACGCACGAUACGUCCAUGGCACGCAGGAGGCGGAUCCGGCAACCUCACCCCCCACGAGGCCCGGAACCCUGAGCGGACAUCCAGGCGGGUGCUUCACCGGCCCCGCAUGGAUGUCCGCUGAUUUUUUU
rnacentral:ncRNA from 1 species